GUGCCAGCAGCCGCGGUAAUUCCAGCUCCAAUAGCGUAUAUUAAAGUUGUUGUGGUUAAAAAGCUCGUAGUUGAACCUUGGGCCUGGCUGGCCGGUCCGCCUCACCGCGUGCACUGGUCCGGCCGGGCCUUUCCCUCUGUGGAACCCCAUACCCUUCACUGGGCGUGGCGGGGAAACAGGACAUUUACUUUGAAAAAAUUAGAGUGCUCCAGGCAGGCCUAUGCUCGAAUACAUUAGCAUGGAAUAAUAAAAUAGGACGCGCGGUUCUAUUUUGUUGGUUUAUAGGACCGCCGUAAUGAUUAAUAGGGACAGUCGGGGGCAUCAGUAUUCAACUGUCAGAGGUGAAAUUCUUGGAUCAGUUGAAGACUAACUACUGCGAAAGCAUUUGCCAAGGAUGUUUUCAUUAAUCAGGAACGAAAGUUAGGGGAUCGAAGACGAUCAGAUACCGUCGUAGUCUUAACCAUAAACUAUGCCGACUAGGGAUCGGACGGUGUUAUUCAUGACCCGUUCGGCACCUUACGAGAAAUCAAAGUGCUUGGGCUCCAGGGGGAGUAUGGUCGCAAGGCUGAAACUUAAAGAAAUUGACGGAAGGGCACCACCAGGGGUGGAGCCUGCGGCUUAAUUUGACUCAACACGGGGAAACUCAUCCAGGUCCAGACACAAUAAGGAUUGACAGAUUGAGAGCUCUUUCUUGAUUUUGUGGUGGUGAUGCAUGACCGUUCUUAGUUGGUGGGGGUGACUUGUCUGCUUAAUUGCGAUACGACGAGACCUUAACUGCUAAAUAGCUCGCAUGCUCGCAGUGCGCUGCUUCUUAGAGGGACUUUCGGCUCAGCCGAAGGAAGUUGAGGCCAUA
rnacentral:rRNA from 1 species